rnacentral:rRNA from 1 species
AGCAGCCGCGGUAAUUCCAGCUCCAAUAGCGUAUAUUAAAGUUGCUGCAGUUAAAAAGCUCGUAGUUGAAUUUCGGGACCAAUAUGUCGGUCGUGCCUCGGUACGUACUGGCAUCGUUGGUUUCUCCCUUCUGACGAACCAUGAUGUCAUUUAUUUGGUGUCGUGGGGAAUCAGGACUGUUACUUUGAAAAAUUAGAGUGUUUAAAGCAGGCUCACGCUUGAAUACAUUAGCAUGGAAUAAUGAAAUAGGACGUUUGAUUCUAUUUUGUUGGUUUCUAGGAUCGACGUAAUGAUUAAUAGGGAUAGUUGGGGGCAUUAGUAUUCAAUUGUCAGAGGUGAAAUUCUUGGAUUUAUUGAAGACUAACUACUGCGAAAGCAUUUGCCAGGAUGUUUU